CCUACGGGAGGCAGCAGUGAGGAAUAUUUGUCAAUGGACGCAAGCCUGAACCAGCCAUGCCGCGUGAAGGAAGACGGCUCUAUGAGUUGUAAACUGCUUUUGUACGAGGGUAAAGGCAGAUACGCGUACCUGUCUGAAAGUAUCGUACGAAUAAGGAUCGGCUAACUCCGUGCCAGCAGCCGCGGUAAUACGGAGGAUUCGAGCGUUAUCCGGAUUUAUUGGGUUUAAAGGGUGCGUAGGUGGUCUGAUAAGUUAGUGGUGAAAUCCUGAGGCUCAACUUCGGAAUUGCCUCUGAUACUGGUCGGCUAGAGAGUAGUUGCGGUAGGCGGAAUGUAUGGUGUAGCGGUGAAAUGCUUAGAGAUCAUACAGAACACCGAUUGCGAAGGCAGCUUACCAAGCUACUUCUGACGUUGAGGCACGAAAGCGUGGGGAGCAAACAGGAUUAGAUACCCCUGUAGUC
rnacentral:rRNA from 1 species